GACAGAUCCUCCUCUGCUACACCCUCCUGCCCACCCCAGGAAGCUCUGGCCCCUCCCCACCUCCUCUCUGUGGCUCCAGUCCCUUCCUUGGGUUGGAGGAAGAAAGAGGAGCUGGCUUUAUUAUAACUCAGAAACUCAGGCCCCCAGAGCUGAACCAGAACUCAGAAACCAGAAACCCCUGCUUUUGCAACUAGAGGCACAGAGCAGGAAGGGGUUUAACAGGGUCACACAGGAAGCAAGCAGCUGAGAUAGGACACAAAGUUCUGUCUUUCAGUGGAAGUUGGAGUCGAUGUGUUGCCUUAAGGGGUUGACAUAAAAUCACAGAGCUGCCCCCUUCUAAGCACUUGGUCUUAAAAUACCUGUUGAAUGGAUGGAUCUCAAAGAGCACAGACCACUUCUGUCCCUCUUCAACCCCGCCCCCCGACCAGGAACUGAGACCUAUGUCUUCAGUCAGAGGACUUCUUGGAAGAGGGGAGUGAGGGCAAUUUGGGGACAUGUAGGUUAGAGGAAGAAGAGGAGGGAUUCCCGGAAGAGAUAAGAGAGGGAAGGAAUUCCAAAGCACUGACCCUCCCCACCCCCAUCUGCUCCUAGCUUGGGUCAGCAGCUGUGUAUUCAGAAGCAUCAAUGUGAACAAUGCAGGUCCCUGCCCAGUCCUCCGCCUGGGAUGGAUUGGAAAAUGGAAGAAGCAAGGCAUCUUCUGAGUACGUCUCCGCGCACGUGCGGAAUGCAGGUCUGCAAGGACAGCUGCCUGGAGAGGCAGCUCCACCGAGGAUAAAAGGCUUUUUAAAAAAACAAAGGAAAGCGCCUGGUCGCUGUCCAAG
rnacentral:lncRNA from 1 species